rnacentral:rRNA from 1 species
AACGAACGCUGGCGGCAUGCCUAACACAUGCAAGUCGAACGAGACCUUCGGGUCUAGUGGCGCACGGGUGCGUAACGCGUGGGAAUCUACCCUUGGGUUCGGAAUAACAGUUAGAAAUGACUGCUAAUACCGGAUGAUGACGUAAGUCCAAAGAUUUAUCGCCCAAGGAUGAGCCCGCGUAAGAUUAGCUUGUUGGUGGGGUAAUGGCCUACCAAGGCGACGAUCUUUAGCUGGUCUGAGAGGAUGAUCAGCCACACUGGGACUGAGACACGGCCCAGACUCCUACGGGAGGCAGCAGUGGGGAAUAUUGCACAAUGGGCGAAAGCCUGAUGCAGCAACGCCGCGUGAGGGAUGAAGGCCUUCGGGUUGUAAACCUCUUUUAGUAGGGAAGAAGCGAAAGUGACGGUACCUACAGAAAAAGCACCGGCUAACUACGUGCCAGCAGCCGCAGUAA